rnacentral:rRNA from 1 species
CCUACGGGAGGCAGCAGUGGGGAAUCUUGCGCAAUGGGCGAAAGCCUGACGCAGCCAUGCCGCGUGAAUGAUGAAGGUCUUAGGAUUGUAAAAUUCUUUCACCGAGGACGAUAAUGACGGUACUCGGAGAAGAAGCCCCGGCUAACUUCGUGCCAGCAGCCGCGGUAAUACGAAGGGGGCUAGCGUUGCUCGGAAUUACUGGGCGUAAAGGGAGCGUAGGCGGAUAGUUUAGUCAGAGGUGAAAGCCCAGGGCUCAACCUUGGAAUUGCCUUUGAUACUGGCUAUCUUGAGUACGGAAGAGGUAUGUGGAACUCCGAGUGUAGAGGUGAAAUUCGUAGAUAUUCGGAAGAACACCAGUGGCGAAGGCGACAUACUGGUCCGUUACUGACGCUGAGGCUCGAAAGCGUGGGGAGCAAACAGGAUUAGAUACCCUGGUAGUCCACGCUGUAAACGAUGAGUGCUAGUUGUCGGCAUGCAUGCAUGUCGGUGACGCAGCUACGCAUAAGCACGUCCGCCGUGGGGUAGGUACGGUCGCGAAGUAAGUUAAACGUUACAAAUAGUUAAGUUAGUACGGCGUUGAGACGNGCCGACGGACGACGACGAGGGGAGGAGG